rnacentral:rRNA from 1 species
GACGUAGGGUGCAAGCGUUGUCCGGAUUUAUUGGGCGUAAAGAGCUUGUAGGCGGUUUGUCGCGUCUGCUGUGAAAUUUCGGGGCUCAACCCCGAACUUGCAGUGGGUACGGGCAGACUAGAGUGUGGUAGGGGAGACUGGAAUUCCUGGUGUAGCGGUGAAAUGCGCAGAUAUCAGGAGGAACACCGAUGGCGAAGGCAGGUCUCUGGGCCACUACUGACGCUGAGAAGCGAAAGCAUGGGGAGCGAACAGG